GCGGUUUUAGCUCAGUUGGGAGAGCGCAUGACUGAAGCUUCAACUUCGGUGGUUGAUUAAUCGACUGAAUUAUCAUGAGGUCACCCGUUCGAUCCGGGUAAAUCGCA
rnacentral:tRNA from 2 species